CCCUGCUUGAUAAUCUGCUGUUGUCGGAAGAACCCCUGUUGGGAUAGGAAUGAAGCCAUUAUUAUCUUAAUCCGAAUUUGAGCAAGUACAAAAUUAAGUUAUAUUUGAUCACAUAGCAAAAGCACCUUGCCUAGAAACAAAGGUCAGACAAAUAAACAAAGAUGCUUAGCGUACUUUAGCAACAUAAGCAACAUAGGCUGCA
rnacentral:misc_RNA from 1 species